rnacentral:rRNA from 1 species
ACCGGCGCACGGGUGCGUAACACGUGGGUAAUCUGCCCUUGAGAUCGGGAUAACCUGCCGAAAGGCGGGCUAAUACUGGAUAAGACCACAGGGACUUCGGUCCUCGGGGUCAAAUGAUGGCCUCUAUUUAUAAGCUAUCGCUUGGGGAUGAGCCCGCGGCCCAUCAGCUAGUUGGUAGGGUAAUGGCCUACCAAGGCUAUGACGGGUAGCUGGUCUGAGAGGAUGAUCAGCCACACUGGAACUGAGACACGGUCCAGACUCCUACGGGAGGCAGCAGUGGGGAAUAUUGCGCAAUGGAGGAAACUCUGACGCAGCAACGCCGCGUGGGUGAUGAAGGCUUUCGGGUCGUAAAGCCCUGUCAGUAGGGAAGAAUGUCCAGAGUGCGAACAGUUCUCUGGAGUGACGGUACCUACGAAGGAAGCACCGGCUAACUCCGUGCCAGCAGCCGCGGUAAAACGGAGGGUGCAAGCGUUGUUCGGAAUUACUGGGCGUAAAGCGCGUGCAGGCGGCAUUUUAAGUUUCGUGUGAAAGCCCUCGGCUCAACCGAGGAACCGCACGGAAUACUGAGAAGCUUGAAUACGGGAGAAGAGGGCGGAAUUCCCAGUGUAGAAGUGAAAUUCGUAGAUAUUGGGAGGAACACCGGCGGCGAAAGCGGCUCUCUAGACCGAUAUUGACGCUCAUACGCGAAAGCGUGGGUAGCAAACAGGAUUAGAUACCCUGUAGUCCACGCUGU